rnacentral:rRNA from 1 species
UACGUAGGGUGCAAGCGUUAAUCGGAAUUAUUGGGCGUAAAGGGUGCGUAGGCGGUUUGUUAAGACGGAUGUGAAAUCCCUGGGCUCAACCUGGGAACUGCAUACGUGACCGGCAGACUAGAGUAUGGCAGAGGGAGGUGGAAUUCCACGUGUAGCAGUGAAAUGCGUAGAGAUGUGGAGGAACACCGAUGGCGAAGGCAGCCCCCUGGGCUAACACUGACGCUCAUGCACGAAAGCGUGGGGAGCAAACAGG